CUGGGUUCAGAACGUCGUGAGACAGUUCGGUCCCUAUCUGCCAUGGGUGUAGAAGAAUUGAGAGGAGUUGCCCCUAGUACGAGAGGACCGGGGUGAACAUACCACUGGUGGACCGGUUGUAGCGCCAGCUGCAGUGCAGGGUAGCUAUGUACGGACAGGAUAACCGCUGAAAGCAUCUAAGCGGGAAGCCUCCCUCGAAACUAGUUCUCCCUUGAGAGUCGUGGAAGACUACCACGUUGAUAGGCCAGGUGUGGAAGUGUGGUAACACAUGGAGCUGACUGGUACUAAUAACUCGAUUGGCUUGAUCAU
rnacentral:rRNA from 1 species